rnacentral:rRNA from 1 species
UACAGAGGUGCCAAGCGUUAGGCGGAAUCACUGGGCUUAAAGCGCGUGUAGGUGGAUGGGUAAGUAUCUUGUGAAAUCCCACGGCUCAACCGUGGAACUGCUGGAUAUACUGCUUGUCUUGAGGCACUUAGGGGCAGCUGGAACAAAUGGUGGAGCGGUGAAAUGCGUAGAUAUCAGGAGGAACACCGGUGGCGAAGGCGGAUCUCUGGGCCAUUACUGACGCUGAGGAGCGAAAGCGUGGGGAGCGAACAGG